GAAAAGGAAGAAAGGACGGUGAGGGGAAGGGAGUCCGGUGGAAUACGAAUUCUUCGAAGAAUAGGAACGGGAGACUUGGGAUACUCAAGGUCGAGUCGAGGGGGUAAGGAUGGGAAAUAAAGUUAGUUAGAAAGCUUGGAGAAAGAGCGAAAUAUUCCGGUGAGAUUGGAAGAAUUCCAGGAAUACGGUUGAGGCCCGCUCACCGGUGGUGCGGCCGAAUAGAUUAAAGAUUAAAGAAGAGGAUCUCCAGGUUUUAUUAAAUAUUCAACUAUCCCUCUCCAUCGUUUAUAACUAUGGAUAUUGGUUAUAGAAA